rnacentral:tRNA from 1 species
CCACCCUUAGCUCAUAUGGAUAGAGUACCGGAUUCCGAUUCCGUCGGUGGCGGGUUCGACUCCCGCAGGGUGGACCA